UACGGAGGGUGCAAGCGUUGUCCGGAUUUAUUGGGUUUAAAGGGUGCGUAGGCGGCUUAUUAAGUCAGUGUUUAAAUACUGCGGCUCAACCGUAGAGAUGGCAUUGAUACUGAUGAGCUUGAGUACAGUCGAGGUAGGCAGAAUUGACGGUGUAGCGGUGAAAUGCAUAGAUAUCGUCAAGAAUACCGAUUGCGAAGGCAGCUUACUAGGCUGUAACUGACGCUGAAGCACGAAAGUGUGGGGAUCAAACAGG
rnacentral:rRNA from 1 species